rnacentral:rRNA from 1 species
AUGAACGCUGGCGGCGUGCCUAAUACAUGCAAGUCGAGCGAACAGACGAGGAGCUUGCUCCUCAGACGUUAGCGGCGGACGGGUGAGUAACACGUGGAUAACCUACCUAUAAGACUGGGAUAACUUCGGGAAACCGGAGCUAAUACCGGAUAAUAUAUUGAACCGCAUGGUUCCAUAGUGAAAGACGGUUUUGCUGUCACUUAUAGAUGGAUCCGCGCCGCAUUAGCUAGUUGGUAAGGUAACGGCUUACCAAGGCAACGAUGCGUAGCCGACCUGAGAGGGUGAUCGGCCACACUGGAACUGAGACACGGUCCAGACUCCUACGGGAGGCAGCAGUAGGGAAUCUUCCGCAAUGGGCGAAAGCCUGACGGAGCAACGCCGCGUGAGUGAUGAAGGUCUUCGGAUCGUAAAACUCUGUUAUUAGGGAAGAACAAAUGUGUAAGUAACUAUGCACGUCUUGACGGUACCUAAUCAGAAAGCCACGGCUAACUACGUG